GUGCUCGCUUUGGCAGCACAUCUACUAAAAUUGGAACAAUACAGAGAAAAUUAACAUGGCCCCUGCACAAGGAUGACACGCAAGUUCGUGAAGCAUUCCAUAUUUUU
rnacentral:snRNA from 1 species